AGUGAACGCUGGCGAUAGGCCUAACACAUGCAAGUCGAACGGCAGCACAGUAAGAGCUUGCUCUUACGGGUGGCGAGUGGCGGACGGGUGAGGCAUACAUCGGAAUCUACUUUUUCGUGGGGGAUAACGUAGGGAAACUUACGCUAAUACCGCAUACGACCUACGGGUGAAAGCAGGGGAUCUUCGGACCUUGCGCGAUUGAUUGAGCCGAUGUCGGAUUAGCUAGUUGGCGGGGUAAAGGCCCACCAAGGCGACGAUCCGUAGCUGGUCUGAGAGGAUGAUCAGCCACACUGGAACUGAGACACGGUCCAGACUCCUACGGGAGGCAGCAGUGGGGAAUAUUGGACAAUGGGCGCAAGCCUGAUCCAGCCGUACCGCGUGGGUGAAGAAGGCCUUCGGGUUGUAAAGCCCUUUUGUUGGGAAAGAAAAGCUGCGGGUUAAUACCCGCCUGUUUUGACGGUACCCAAAGAAUAAGCACCGGCUAACUUCGUG
rnacentral:rRNA from 1 species